UAUCUCUCCGUACGGGGAAGGAUGAGAAGCUUCGACUAAGGUUCGAUUCGAGCGAAAGCGAGAAAGCGUUGCCGCAGGCAACGACCCGAAGGGUGAGGACCGGAGCGACGAAUAAUCCUUCCCCCACCAUCA
rnacentral:sRNA from 2 species